GAUGAAGAACGUAGCGAAAUGCGAUAAGUAGUGUGAAUUGCAGAAUUCAGUGAAUCAUCGAAUCUUUGAACGCACAUUGCGCCCCUUGGUAUUCCAUGGGGCAUGCCUGUUCGAGCGUCAUUUGUACCUUCAAGCUUUGCUUGGUGUUGGGUGUUUGUCUCGCCUUUGCGUGUAGACUCGCCUCAAAACAAUUGGCAGCCGGCGUAUUGAUUUCGGAGCGCAGUACAUCUCGCGCUUUGCACUCAUAACGACGACGUCCAAAAGUACAUUUUUACACUCUUGACCUCGGAUCAGGUAGGGAUACCCGCUGAACUUAAGCAUAUCAAUAAGCGGAGGA
rnacentral:misc_RNA from 1 species